rnacentral:rRNA from 1 species
GGAACGAUACUAGCUUGCUAGUAGGCGUCGAGUGGCGGACGGGUGAGUAACGCGUAGGAAUCUGCCUGAUAGUGGGGGAUAGCCCGAAGAAAUUCGGAUUAAUACCGCAUAAUCUAUUCGUAGUAAAGUGGGGGACUUUCGAGCCUCACGCUAUCAGAUGAGCCUGCGUAAGAUUAGCUUGUUGGUAGGGUAAAAGCCUACCAAGGCGACGAUCUUUAGCUGGUCUGAGAGGAUGAUCAGCCACAUCGGGACUGAAAACCCGGCCCGAACUCCUACGGGAGGCAGCAGUGGGGAAUAUUGGACAAUGGGGGCAACCCUGAUCCAGCAAUACCGCGUGUGUGAAGAAGGCCUGAGGGUUGUAAAGCACUUUCAAUUGUGAAGAAAAGUUAGCGGUUAAUAACCGUUAGCCUUGACGUUAACUUUAGAAGAAGCACCGGCUAACUCCGUGCCAGCAGCCGCGGUAAUACGGAGGGUGCAAGCGUUAAUCGGAAUUACUGGGCGUAAAGCGUGCGUAGGCGGUUUAUUAAGUCAGAUGUGAAAGCCCCGGGCUUAACCUGGGAACUGCAUUUGAAACUGGUCAACUAGAGUAUGGUAGAGGAAAGUGGAAUUUCUGGUGUAGCGGUGAAAUGCGUAGAUAUCAGAAGGAACAUCAAUGGCGAAGGCAGCUUUCUGGACCAAUACUGACGCUGAGGUACGAAAGCGUGGGUAGCAAACAGGAUUAGAUACCCUGGUAGUCCACGCCGUAAACGAUGAUAACUAGCCGUUGGGGGGGAUUUACCCC